rnacentral:rRNA from 1 species
UACAGAGGGGGCAAGCGUUGUUCGGAAUUACUGGGCGUAAAGGGCGCGUAGGCGGCCCGCUAAGUCGAACGUGAAAUCCCCCGAGCUCAACUCGGGAACUGCGUCCGAUACUGGCGGGCUUGAAUCCGGGAGAGGGAUGCGGAAUUCCAGGUGUAGCGGUGAAAUGCGUAGAUAUCUGGAGGAAUACCGGUGGCGAAGGCGGCAUCCUGGGACCGACAUUGACGCUGAUGAGCGAAAAGCUAGGGGGAACAAACAGG